rnacentral:rRNA from 1 species
GACUCCAUGAAGCUGGAUUCGCUGUAAUCGCGCAUCAGCCACGGCGCGGUGAAUACGUUCCCGGGCCUUGUACACACCGCCCGUCAAGCCAUGGAAGCCGGGAGUGCCUGAAGUGCGUGAGCGUAAGCAGCGCCCUAAGGUAAAACCGGUGACUGGGGCUAAGUCGUAACAAGGUAGC